rnacentral:rRNA from 1 species
GAUGAACGCUGGCGGCGUGCCUAAUACAUGCAAGUCGAGCGAACAGACGAGGAGCUUGCUCCUCUGACGUUAGCGGCGGACGGGUGAGUAACACGUGGAUAACCUACCUAUAAGACUGGGAUAACUUCGGGAAACCGGAGCUAAUACCGGAUAAUAUAUUGAACCGCAUGGUUCAAUAGUGAAAGACGGUUUUGCUGUCACUUAUAGAUGGAUCCGCGCCGCAUUAGCUAGUUGGUAAGGUAACGGCUUACCAAGGCAACGAUGCGUAGCCGACCUGAGAGGGAGAUGGCCCACCCGGAACCUGAGCACGGACCAACCCCCCACGGGGGGGAGACGGGAGGGAAUCUCCGGAAAGGGCAGAAAGCCGGACGGAGCACCGCGGGGGGGGAGAGAAAGUUUUUGGGUUCGAAAAACUUUUUUAUAGGAGAAAAAAAAAUUUGAAAGAAAUUUUGCACGUUUGAAGGGUACCUAACCAAAAGGCCGGGGAUAACUCCGUC